GUCCUAUGGAGGAAGCAGCAGAAACUCUGCUCUCCUCGUUUGGAUUAAUUCUGAUAUAAUAACUGUUGGUUUAUUUAUCAGUGGAGCAGCACAACAUUUUACACAGACAGUUUUCCUGCGCGUUGGCUUGUUUUAACCAGUUUUCUACCUUUGGCUGAUUCUACCAGCAGACACUGAAAGGACUCUAAUAGUUCGAGUGAAAGUAGCAGUUCCUCCUUAAGGUCAGAGAUUGCAGCAUCUGAGGGCCUCUUCAAAAGAAGACGUAGUUGAUGAAGACGUUCUGGAGCAGGACCAGAAAGACCACGACCAAGCAGCCUUGAGAUCUUAGACAGCGUCUCCCUCAGGUCCCUCUCUAUCUCCCCACACAUCCACCAACCACUGGAACACAUCUCCAAAGUUCUGCUGGGCCAGCUCAGCUUCCCCUCAGAAGAAGUGCUGCCACCUGCCAGAUGAAGGAGCCUUUUGAGAGGCAGCUGGCAUCGUGAUUGGACUGUACUUUGGUCUGUUCCAAUCCAGCUUCAGCUCCAGAGACGGCAGGCGGGACGAGUCAACGGAGGCCGGAUGGACGAAGGCAUGAAGCUGAGUACAAUCCAGAAAACAACAGAGGAGGAGUGCAGCAGCCCAGGGCCAGAACAACCAGAGUAGCAUCGUAUGUCUCUUAGAAAACAUCAUAGUACAGCCUUUGGGAUGAAAAAACGCCAUCAUAUACAUCAUAUAUUGUACAAAUAACAAGUCAAAGGAAAGAGACAUACAUUGUAGAAUUGUAGUAAUUGUGGGCUGACUGAUUUACU
ensembl:lncRNA